rnacentral:misc_RNA from 1 species
CGGUCAGNGCAUGAGUGGGUACACGAGACGCUAAGGGUAUGCACUGAUCGGGGACACACUGGGUGGAUGCGAGUCGGUAAACGAUGGUUAUUGUUGGGAUACGAGUUGGUACACUAGUCGGUAUACGCGCGCGAUGGCCCGGAGUGGGCAUGUCGUUUAGGCUUUGCCCUNGACGGCGUGCUUGCAUCAACGGUUGGUCUAGGCCAAUCGAGUCGAAAUGACGAUGUGGCUACACAACGUCAUGGAGGCAUGUCCCUACACAAUGGUUACUUUCGCAUCGCUCGGUGCAUUCUGGGGGCUGUUUUGGCUUUUGGUUGCUUGCUUGGCUAUUUCGUCGAGUGGGUGGCUACUAGUUGGGCGGCUUUCGGGAAUGUCGACCGUAAAGGUGCAUGAGUGGUGUUUGGUUUGUUACGGGUGGUUGGCUGUCUGCUCGCGCAGCAACGUCCACGCGUGCUUACCUCUUCAGUUGUGCGGCAAGGCUUAGAUUGUCUUGAGCAUAUUGUGGGUUUCCUGUGUUGCAUACCUAAUCGAUGGUAACGUGUGGCCUUUAUGAUGUCCCUAUUCGUCAUGCGUCGCUCAUGCGACGUGGGAUGAACGUCUAAGCGGUCUUUGUGAUCCAUCUUGUUGUUGCAUUUGCAACUAUGAUGUGGCCCAUGAAGCAUUGCUUGGUCUCUUGUAUACAGAACCUAAUGUGGGCAUGGGUCUUAUACGAUCCUGAAUUUGCCCUCGUUAAGCGUUCUYGCUUCUCCAAAACGAUUGUCCACCAUGCCUUGGCUUGUCCAUGCAUGGUGGGCUACGUCGA